UACGUAGGGUGCGAGCGUUGUCCGGAAUUAUUGGGCGUAAAGAGCUCGUAGGCGGUGUGUCGCGUCGGCCGUGAAAACCUGGGGCUUAACUCUGGGCGUGCGGUCGAUACGGGCAUCACUAGAGUUCGGCAGGGGAGACUGGAAUUCCUGGUGUAGCGGUGAAAUGCGCAGAUAUCAGGAGGAACACCGGUGGCGAAGGCGGGUCUCUGGGCCGAUACUGACGCUGAGGAGCGAAAGCCAGGGGAGCGAACGGG
rnacentral:rRNA from 1 species